rnacentral:lncRNA from 1 species
ACAGGGCCUCACUCUGUCACUCAGGCUGGAGUGAAGUGGUGCAAUCACAGUUCACUGAAACCUUGAACUCCUGGGUACAAGGAAUCCUCCUGUCUGGAACUACAGGAAGAAGAUGAUUUUUCACCUAGUGGAGUCAUUGAACAGUGGUCUUCAAAUUGGGAUUAUUUCCAAGAAUAGAUUAAAAUGCCAUGAAAAAGAAAAAAUUAUAGAAAAGCAAAAAGAGCUGAAUGCAGUGAAUGAACAUCUGUGAAUGAAGUUGAGAAGGUAUAUGUGGGGCAGACUAGAAUUGCAGUGCACAGAUACAAGAAUGUUGCCUGCUUUGGAGCCAAGACUGCCUUCCGGAUAAAGGGCCCACAGAGAGCUGAGAGCUGUGUAAUACCUCAAAGACUGAAGAAAAGAGUUAGACAGCCAUCUUUCCUUAGAGGAUUUUGCUGCAGACAGCUUGAACUACCAGAAGGUUAUAUACUGACCAUGGGUAGAGUAAGGAAGAAAUACAUCCUUCGGAAAGGACAAUGAAGAUCUUUACAGCAGGGAGGUGAGGACAAAGUGAUUCUCCCUUCUGGAGGAUGCAGCAAAGUGCUGCCUGCCAUCUUGGAAGCACAGAGUAGCCUUCACCACACUCUAAUCCCAUCAGAGCCUUGAUCUUGGACUUGCCAGCCUUCAGAACAGUCUUGCCUCAUCACUGCCAUGACAGGGGGGUCCAAUGUGAGGAUUCUGGUGUCUAUGCCAAGCAUCUCUUUUCCAACGUAGAUCUGAUUUCUUAACAUAGCCAACAGCAAGUCAACAUCAGCUUUGCAGAGAAAAGCAGGGAUGCGUGUGCACAAAGAAAAGGCCAUGUGAGGACAUAGCAAGAGGGAAGCUGUCCGCAAGCCAAGGAAAAAGGCCUCAGGAGAAACCAAAUCUGCCAAUACAUUGAUCUUGGACUUCCAGCAUUCAGAAAUGUAUGUGAAAAUUAAGGACAGAUCCUAUGCUGACCUGAUAAACAAAGAUAGCUCUUUCGAGCUCAAUGUACAUUGAGUGUAACAAGAGGGAAGGAGGGAGGAAACCACUGCCCAUUUGGGAUUCCUUCAAAUUCACAUCUCUCCAAAAUGGGAGACUUGUAUUUUCUGACAUUCAACUUAAUCGAAGAAUAAAGCUUUAACAGUGGCAUCAGUGACAUGAUGAAUGAUGCAUCAUUUUGAAGUAAUAAUGGUUUUCCCAGUGACUCAGAAAUAGCAGUAUGUUCAGAUUCAGUGUGCCUGUUCAUGAGAGCUCUGCAGAAAUUGCACAUCUGGCUCUUUGCCUGUGCACCUGAAGUUAUCUCAGGAGAAAUUAUACAAAUUAAAUACAGACACAGAGAAGGUCUUUUUUAAUUCAAAGGAAAAGAAUAUAUAUUCAAGAAAAGCAAAAAAGGUAAGAGAAAAGGUAAGGGACUGUAGUGAUAUUAAGCUAGGAAACUAACAAAAUGAUGACAAUAUAAAAUAAAUGAUGUGAAAAGAACAACAAAAACAAUAUAAAGUAGAAAUGAAAAUAUAUUGUGUUGGCUCAGGAAAAUAUUUAAAUUACUUUCUUUCUUCUAUUCCAUAGGUGGAAGUUGGGCCUUUGGUCAUUAAUUCUCUCUCUCUCUCUUGCUAAUUUUUGCAAAUAGGGAGAACUUGGAACAUCUGCCAAAAUUUUUAUUUUGUGCUUUAUUUUGGCUACCUGUUUAUUCCAUAGAACUAUGACUUGUCCUGGUGAUUCAGGCUUACUCCUUAAUUUCUGAACUGAUUGCCAGAGAGUCAGGGAUAUACACAUACAUUAUAUAUACACACACACACACACACACACACACACACACACACACACACAUAUAUAUAUACACACACAUACAUAUAUAUAUAUACACACACAUACAUAUACAUAUAUGGGAGAUUAUAUCUAUAUCUAUAUCUAUGUCUAUCCCUCCCAUGUUAUUUCCUGCUUUUCUACUACUUGUUCCACUUUCCCCAGGUCUUUUGAAACUAAAAAUAAAAUUAUCACCUCACUGUAAGUAUCAUGUCUUCUGCUUCAGGGGUUGCACACUGCUUCAAGGUAGUAAUUGUUAAUUAUUCAAGACUGACUUCUUGUAAAGUAAUCUUCUAGAAAGACAGCUGGACUUUUAAGACUUCAUGAACUCUAAAGAUAUGGCAGGCCAGGAUCCAAGGCCAAAGGUAUAAUACCUCCAAAAGCUACGGUUAUGAGUCUUGGAAGUCAGCCCUUGGUUGUAUCAGAGGAAAUACAGUUCUCUCUAACCAUGAAUGCUGAAGAGGAAGAAUCAAGCUGGAGGCUAGGAUUAUGCCAUAUCAUACUGCUUUUGGAUCUCAGCACACAGGAUGCCAGGGGAGGGUAAUGUUCUUACCAUGAAGCUUGUCAUCAGAGGUCCAAAAGAAGAGAGCCACAAAAUGUGUACUGUUCAAUGUUGUGUGCACAUCUAGCAUGAAACAUCUUUUGCAUCAGUGACCAAUCUGAGUACUUACAUCUUAACUCUAAGGCACACACUAAAAUACAUAAUGCCUGGUUGUUCCUAGAUACUUACUUGGUAUAAAAUUUAAUUUUUUCUAAAAAUGAUCUUAUAUGGUAGCUUUUUUUUUUGAGACGGAGUUUCGCUCUUGUUGCCCAGGCUGGAGGGCAAUGGCAUGACCUCAGCUCACUGCAACCUCCAUCUCCCGGGUUCAAGCAAUUCUCCUGCUUCAGCCUCCAGAGUAGCUGGGAUCACAGGCGCCCAUCACCAUGCCCAGCUAAUUUUUUGUAUUUUUAGUAGAGACAGGGUUUCCCCAUGUUGGCCAGGCUGGUCUUGAACUCCUGACCUCAGGUGAUCCACCUGCCUCUGCCUCCCAAAGUUCUGGGAUUACAGGCGUGAGCCACCACGCCCGGUCAUAUGUAGCUCUUUACUGUCUUUACAGCAUGAUAGCUGCUUAAUACAUAUUCAAUAUUCAUUGAAUUAUAACAUUCACUGAAUUGCAAUAUUUUUUCUCAUUGUUCACUCUGUUUUCCGAUUUUUCACAUACCCAUCCACAUCCCCAAUGCUCACAACUAGCCGCAACAUGAAUACUUUAAAUCAAUGAAGUCCCUGAAAUAAAAAAUUAUGAAUAAUCAUUAUUUUUGUCGUUUUUGUCAUUGUUUACAUCUAGUGAGACAGAAUUCUUUAUUACCAAAUUCUGUUCACGUUAUAGCCACUUCCUUCUCUGAAACUUCAUUAUCACCAUUAUAGCUUCUGGUAUGAUCAGCUAAUCUCACCAUUACAAAAGUCACUUACCUGAUCCUCCUGAAAAGUGUCUUGACCUAACCCUAAUACAAAGCAUUAAUUUUUUAAGUUUUCUUUUAUGGGAAAUUAUUUACAUUUAAUUAUAACACACAUAUAGUAAAAUGUACAUAUCAUCAAUACACACUUCCACGAAGUUUAACAAAAUGAAUUAAUACAUAUAACCACCAUAGAUCAAAUAAAAUAUUUAAACUUUCAGAUAGCCAUACUAAUGGCCUAAAUGCAAAUCUCUCUGCAUAGUAUUUCAAAAACUGUAGAGAUGAACCGCAAGAACAAAAUGAACACACAUUCUACAUCUUCA